AGAGAAUAGAUGGAGGAAGAGAAAUGGGAGGGAGAGGAAGAUAGAGAUUAAGAAACAACGAAGAAUGAAUGGUUUUGUUAGUGUGAUUUUCAUGUCCUAUAUCUUUUGUGUUAUGGCAUCAAAAAAUGAACAUUGUGUUAUAUUUGUGCAAUGGUUUGGUUUUUGUGUGAGAUUGAGAUGGUUUUUUGGAAGGCCAUGAAAAUUCUGGAGUGAGAUAUGAUUAAAGAAAAAAAUGAAAGAAAAAAGAUGGAAAA
rnacentral:lncRNA from 1 species